AGAGUUUGAUCCUGGCUCAGGAUGAACGCUGGCGGCGUGCUUAACACAUGCAAGUCGAACGAUCCUUCGGGAUAGUGGCGGACGGGUGAGUAACGCGUGGGAAUCUGCCCUCAGGAGGGGGAUAACGGCUGGAAACGGCCGCUAAUACCCCAUAUGCCGAGAGGUGAAAUGAAUUUCGCCUGAGGAUGAGCCCGCGUCUGAUUAGCUAGUUGGUGGGGUAAAGGCCUACCAAGGCAACGAUCAGUAGCUGGUCUGAGAGGAUGAUCAGCCACACUGGGACUGAGACACGGCCCAGACUCCUACGGGAGGCAGCAGUGGGGAAUUUUCCGCAAUGGGCGAAAGCCUGACGGAGCAACGCCGCGUGAGGGAUGAAGGCCUCUGGGCUGUAAACCUCUUUUCUCAAGGAAGAAGACCUGACGGUACUUGGGGAAUAAGCCACGGCUAAUUCCGUGCCAGCAGCCGCGGUAAUACGGGAGUGGCAAGCGUUAUCCGGAAUUAUUGGGCGUAAAGCGUCCGCAGGCGGCCUUGUAAGUCUGUUGUUAAAGCGUGGAGCUCAACUCCAUUUAAGCAAUGGAAACUACAAGGCUGGAGUGUGGUAGGGGCAGAGGGAAUUCCCGGUGUAGCGGUGAAAUGCGUAGAUAUCGGGAAGAACACCAGUGGCGAAGGCGCUCUGCUGGGCCAUAACUGACGCUCAUGGACGAAAGCCAGGGGAGCGAAAGGGAUUAGAUACCCCUGUAGUCCUGGCCGUAAACGAUGAACACUAGGUGUCGGGGGAAUCGACCCCCUCGGUGUCGUAGCCAACGCGUUAAGUGUUCCGCCUGGGGAGUACGCACGCAAGUGUGAAACUCAAAGGAAUUGACGGGGGCCCGCACAAGCGGUGGAGUAUGUGGUUUAAUUCGAUGCAACGCGAAGAACCUUACCAGGGUUUGACAUCCUGCGAACCCCUGAGAAAUCGGGGGGUGCCUUCGGGAGCGCAGAGACAGGUGGUGCAUGGCCGUCGUCAGCUCGUGUCGUGAGAUGUUGGGUUAAGUCCCGCAACGAGCGCAACCCACGUCUUUAGUUGCCAGCAUUCAGUUGGGCACUCUAGAGAGACCGCCGGUGAUAAACCGGAGGAAGGUGUGGAUGACGUCAAGUCAUCAUGCCCCUUACAUCCUGGGCUACACACGUACUACAAUGCUACGGACAAAGGGCAGCAAGCUCGCGAGAGUUAGCAAAUCCCAUAAACCGUGGCUCAGUUCAGAUCGUAGGCUGCAACUCGCCUACGUGAAGGAGGAAUCGCUAGUAAUCGCAGGUCAGCAUACUGCGGUGAAUACGUUCCCGGGCCUUGUACACACCGCC
rnacentral:rRNA from 1 species